AUUGAACGCUGGCGGCAGGCCUAACACAUGCAAGUCGAACGAGUGGCGCACGGGUGUGUAAUGUCUGGGACACUGCCCGAUGGCGGGGGAUAACUACGGGAAACGGUAGCUAAUACCGCAUACCAUCGGAUGUGCCCAGAUGGGAUUGGCUAGUAGGUGGGGUAACGGCUCACCAAGGCGACGAGCCAUAGCUGGUCUGAGAGGAUGACCAGCCACACUGGAACUGAGACACGGGCCAGACUCCUACGGGAGGCAGCAGUGGGGAAUAUUGCACAAUGGGCGCAAGCCUGAUGCAGCCAUGCCGCGUGUGUGAAGAAGGUCUUCGGAUUGUAAAGCACUUUCAGUAGGGAAGCGGUACUCAAUGAGAAAGCACCGGCUAACUCCGUGCCAGCAGCCGCGGUAAUUC
rnacentral:rRNA from 1 species